AUGUAUCUAGAUCUGGUACCGCAGAUUUGGUCUUCAGGUCAUCCCCAUGUUCAGAUCUGGUCUCAUCGACAACAGGGGAUGCCUUCAUCCUCUCGAUGCCUAGAUCUAGGUGCUCGUUCUUCUCCCCAUCACCACUGUGAUCUGAUCUCUUGUCAUUCCAUGAGCAAGUCCGGUCUUCAAUCCUUCCUUCGUUGUCUUGGCGGACAGAUGUGGAAAGAACGCCGACAAUCAAUGGUAUGUUUAUAUAUUUGCUUUGUUCUUAUUCUAGUAAUGUUUGCUUCAAAGUUUUGGCCAUUCCAUUCUUUCUUCUCCAUGUGGGGGGCAGGACAGAUAGAUAGCUUGGGCAAAUUACGAAGGAUCCCCGCGAUAAGCAUUUGCCAUGAAAAUUGUCCAUUACUUUCUUAUUUCUUGAUAUAG
rnacentral:rRNA from 1 species